AUGAACGCUGGCGGCGUGCCUAAUACAUGCAAGUCGCGCGAACGGACGAGAAGCUUGCUUCUCUGAUGUUAGCGGCGGACGGGUGAGUAACACGUGGAUAACCUACCUAUAAGACUGGGAUAACUUCGGGAAACCGGAGCUAAUACCGGAUAAUAUUUUGAACCGCAUGGUUCAAAAGUGAAAGACGGUCUUGCUGUCACUUAUAGAUGGAUCCGCGCUGCAUUAGCUAGUUGGUAAGGUAACGGCUUACCAAGGCAACGAUGCAUAGCCGACCUGAGAGGGUGAUCGGCCACACUGGAACUGAGACACGGUCCAGACUCCUACGGGAGGCAGCAGUAGGGAAUCUUCCGCAAUGGGCGAAAGCCUGACGGAGCAACGCCGCGUGAGUGAUGAAGGUCUUCGGAUCGUAAAACUCUGUUAUUAGGGAAGAACAUAUGUGUAAGUAACUGUGCACAUCUUGACGGUACCUAAUCAGAAAGCCACGGAUAACUACGUG
rnacentral:rRNA from 1 species